AGUGAACGCUGGCGGUAGGCCUAACACAUGCCAGUCGAACGGCAGCACAGUAAGAGCUUGCUCUUACGGGUGGCGAGUGGCGGACGGGUGAGGAAUACAUCGGAAUCUACUUUUUCGUGGGGGAUAACGUAGGGAAACUUACGCUAAUACCGCAUACGACCUACGGGUGAAAGCAGGGGAUCUUCGGACCUUGCGGGAUUGAAUGAGCCGAUUUCGGAUGAGCUAGUUGGCGGGGUAAAGGCCCACCAAGUCGACGAUCCGUAGCUGGUCUGAGAGGAUGAUCAGCCACAUUGGAAGUGAGACACGGCCCAGACACCUACGGGAGGCAGCAGUGGGGAAUAUUGCACAAUGGGCGCAAGCGUGAUCCAGCCAUACCGCGUGAGUGAAGAAGGACUUCGGGUUGUAAAGCCCUUUUGUUGGGAAAGAAAAGAAGCAGUUUAAUACCCCGCGGUACUGACGGUACCCAAAGAAUAAGCACCGGCUAACUUCGUG
rnacentral:rRNA from 1 species